rnacentral:rRNA from 1 species
GAUGAACGCUGUCUACAGGCUUAACACAUGCAAGUCGAGGGGAAACGACGGGGAAGCUUGCUUCCCCGGGCGUCGACCGGCGCACGGGUGAGUAACGCGUAUCCAACCUGCCUCUGACUGAGGGAUAACCCGUCGAAAGUCGGCCUAAUACCUCAUGGCAUCGUCUGCGGGCAUCCAACGACGAUUAAAGAUUUCAUCGGUCAGGGAUGGGGAUGCGUCUGAUUAGCUUGUUGGCGGGGUAACGGCCCACCAAGGCUACGAUCAGUAGGGGUUCUGAGGGGAGGGUCCCCCAAUUUGGAACUGGGACACGUUCCAAACUCCUACGGAGGGCGGCAUUGAGGAAUAUUGGUCAAGGGGCGGGGGCCUGAACCGGCCAGGUAGCGUGCGGGAUGCCGCCCCUAUGGGUUGUAAACUGCUUUUAUGCGGGGAUAAAGUGAGGGACGUGUCCUCAUUGCAGGUACCGCAUGAAUAAGGACCGGCUAAUUCCGUG